rfam:Gossypium hirsutum cultivar TM-1 chromosome 15, whole genome shotgun sequence
AACCCAUGAUGAGGGCACCUUCUCAAUAAAUCCUUGUAUCUCUCACAUGCAUCCUAAAAUGUUUCUAAAUCCAUCUGCACGAAAGAAGAGAUAUCAUUCCUCAAUUU